ACUUCGUCAGGGAAGAAACGGUGAAGGCUAAUAUCCUUUGCUAAUGACGGUACCUGAAGAAUAAGGACCGGGCUAACUACGUGCCAGCAGCCGCGGUAAUACGUAGGGUCCAAGCGUUAAUCGGAAUUCCUGGGCGUAAAGCGGGCGUAGGUGGUUGGGUAAGUCGGAGGUGAAAUCCCCGGGCUCAACCUGGGAAUUGCAUUUGAGACUGCACGGCUAGAGUAUGGCAGAGGGGGGUGGAAUUCCACGUGUAGCAGUGAAAUGCGUAGAUAUGUGGAGGAACACCGAUGGCGAAGGCAACCCCCUGGUCUAACACUGACGCUCAUGCACGAAAGCGUGGGGAGCAAACAGGAUUAGAUACCCUGGUAGUCCA
rnacentral:rRNA from 1 species